rnacentral:rRNA from 1 species
UAAGGAAUAUUGCUCAAUGGGAGAAAUCCUGAAGCAGCAACGCCGCGUGGAGGAUGAAGGGUCUAUGACUUGUAAACUCCUGUAAAGAAGGAAAAAAUUCCCAUUUGAUGGGAGAUGAUGGUACUUCUGGAGUAAGCCCCGGCUAACUACGUGCCAGCAGCCGCGGUGAUACGUAGGGGGCAAGCGUUGUCCGGAUUUACUGGGUGUAAAGGGUGCUCAGGCGGAUUUGUAAGUCAGAGGUGAAAUCUUACAGCUUAACUGUGAAACUGCCUUUGAUACUGCAAGCCUAGAGUAUGGAAGAGAGUGAUGGAAUAUCUGGUGUAGCAGUGAAAUGCGUAGAUAUCAGAUAGAACACCAAUGGCGAAGGCAGUCACUUGGUCCAUUACUGACGCUAAAGCACGAAAGCGUGGGUA